UACAGAGGUGGCAAGCGUUGCUCGGUAUCACUGGGCUUAAAGGGCGCGUAGGCGGUGCGGUACGGUUUCGGUGAAAUCCCACGGCUCACCCGUGGAACUGCUGGGCAUACUGGCGAUCUUGGGCCAACUAGGGGCAGUCGGAACAAGCGGUGGAGCGGUGAAAUGCGUAGAUAUCGCUUGGAACGCCGAAGGUGAAAACAGACUGCUGGGGUUGCGCCGACGCUGAGACACGAAAGCCAGGGGAGCAAACGGG
rnacentral:rRNA from 1 species